CCUACGGGUGGCAGCAGUGGGGAAUAUUGGGCAAUGGGCGCAAGCCUGACCCAGCAACGCCGCGUGAGGGAAGACGGCUUUCGGGUUGUAAACUUCUUUUAGGAGGGGAGAGCAGAAGACGGUACCUCUUGAAUAAGCCACGGCUAACUACGGGCCAGCAGCCGCGGUAAUACGUAGGUGGCAAGCGUUGUCCGGAUUUACUGGGUGUAAAGGGAGUGCAGCCGGGAAGACAAGUCAGAUGUGAAAUCCCGGGGCUCAACCGCGGAACUGCAGUUGAAACUGGUUUUCUUGAGUACCGGAGAGGUAAGCGGAAUUCCUUGUGUAGCGGUGAAAUGCGUAGAUAUAAGGAAGAACACCAGUGGCGAAGGCGGAUGACUGGCCGGCAACUGACGGUGAGGCGCGAAAGCGUGGGGAGCAAACAGGAUUAGAUACCCGGGUAGUC
rnacentral:rRNA from 1 species